rnacentral:rRNA from 1 species
GUCUGCGACCAUACCACCGUGAACGCGCCCGAUCUCCUCUGAUCUCGGAAGCUAAGCAGGGUCGGGCCUAGUUAGUACUUGGAUGGGAGACCGCCUGAGAAUACCGGGUGCUGUAGGCU